rnacentral:rRNA from 1 species
CAUGUGGUUUAAUUCGAUGAUACGCGAAGAACUUACCGGGGUUUGACAUGCAGGUGAUCGCCGUUGAAAGACGGUUUCCUCUUCGGAGGCACCUGCACAGGUGCUGCAUGGCUGUCGUCAGCUCGUGUCGUGAGAUGUUGGGUUAAGUCCCGCAACGAGCGCAGCCCUACCGCCAGUUGCCACGGGUAAAGCCGGGGACUCAGCGGGGACUGCCGGCGUAAGCCGAGAGGAAGGCGGGGAUGACGUCAAAUCAGCACGGCCCUUACGUCCAGGGCUACACACGUGUUACAAUGGCCGGUACAGAGGGAGGCGACCCCGCGAGGGGGAGCGGAUCCCGAAAGCCGGUCGUAGUUCGGAUCGGGGUCUGGAACCCGACCCCGUGAAGCCGGAUUCGCUAGUAAUCGCGCAUCAGCCAUGGCGCGGUGAAUACGUUCCCGGGCCUU